CAGGACGAACGCUGGCGGCGUGCUUAACACAUGCAAGUCGAACGCUGAAGCUUGGUGCUUGCACUGGGUGGAUGAGUGGCGAACGGGUGAGUAAUACGUGAGUAACCUGCCCUUGACUCUGGGAUAAGCCUGGGAAACUGGGUCUAAUACUGGAUAUGACCUCCUGUCGCAUGGUGGGGGGUGGAAAGGGUUUGUACUGGUUGUGGAUGGGCUCACGGCCUAUCAGCUUGUUGGUGGGGUAAUGGCCUACCAAGGCGACGACGGGUAGCCGGCCUGAGAGGGUGACCGGCCACACUGGGACUGAGACACGGCCCAGACUCCUACGGGAGGCAGCAGUGGGGAAUAUUGCACAAUGGGCGCAAGCCUGAUGCAGCGACGCCGCGUGAGGGAUGACGGCCUUCGGGUUGUAAACCUCUUUCAGCACGGAAGAAGCGAAAGUGACGGUACGUGCAGAAGAAGCGCCGGCUAACUACGUGCCAGCAGCCGCGGUAAUACGUAGGGCGCAAGCGUUGUCCGGAAUUAUUGGGCGUAAAGAGCUCGUAGGCGGUUUGUCGCGUCUGCUGUGAAAGCCCGGGGCUUAACCCCGGGUGUGCAGUGGGUACGGGCAGACUUGAGUGCAGUAGGGGAGACUGGAACUCCUGGUGUAGCGAUGAAAUGCGCAGAUAUCAGGAAGAACACCGAUGGCGAAGGCAGGUCUCUGGGCUGUUACUGACGCUGAGGAGCGAAAGCAUGGGGGAGCGAACAGGGAUUAGAUACCCUGGUAGUCCAUGCCGUAAACGUUGGGCACUAGGUGU
rnacentral:rRNA from 1 species